GACGAACGCUGGCGGCGUGCUUAACACAUGCAAGUCGAACGGAAAGGCCCUGCUUUUGUGGGUUGCUCGAGUGGCGAACGGGUGAGUAACACGUGAGUAACCUGCCCUUGACUUUGGGAUAACUUCAGGAAACUGGGGCUAAUACCGGAUAGGAGCUCCUGCUGCAUGGUGGGGGUUGGAAAGUUUCGGCGGUUGGGGAUGGACUCGCGGCUUAUCAGCUUGUUUGUGGGGUAGUGGCUUACCAAGCCUUUGACGGGUAGCCGGCCUGAGAGGGUGACCGGCCACAUUGGGACUGAGAUACGGCCCAGACUCCUACGGGAGGCAGCAGUGGGGAAUAUUGCACAAUGGGCGGAAGCCUGAUGCAGCAACGCCGCGUGCGGGAUGACGGCCUUCGGGUUGUAAACCGCUUUCGCCUGUGACGAAGCGUGAGUGACGGUAAUGGGUAAAGAAGCACCGGCUAACUACGUG
rnacentral:rRNA from 1 species